UACGGAGGGUGCAAGCGUUAUCCGGAUUCACUGGGUUUAAAGGGUGCGUAGGUGGGCAGUUAAGUCAGCGGUGAAAUCUCUGGGCUUAACCCAGAAACUGCCAUUGAUACUAUCUGUCUUGAAUACUUUGGAGGUAAGCGGAAUAUGUCAUGUAGCGGUGAAAUGCUUAGAUAUGACAUAGAACACCAAUUGCGAAGGCAGCUUACUACACAGUUAUUGACACUGAGGCACGAAAGCGUGGGGAUCAAACAGG
rnacentral:rRNA from 1 species